rnacentral:rRNA from 1 species
AUUGAACGCUGGCGGCAUGCCUAACACAUGCAAGUCGAACGGAAACGAUGGGAGCUUGCUCCCAGGCGUCGAGUGGCGGACGGGUGAGUAAUACUUAGGAAUCUGCCCAUUAGUGGGGGACAACAUUCGGAAACGGAUGCUAAUACCGCAUACGCCCUACGGGGGAAAGCGGGGGAUCUUCGGACCUCGCGCUAAUGGAUGAGCCUAAGUCGGAUUAGCUUGUUGGUGAGGUAAUGGCUCACCAAGGCGACGAUCCGUAGCUGGUCUGAGAGGACGAUCAGCCACACUGGGACUGAGACACGGCCCAGACUCCUACGGGAGGCAGCAGUGGGGAAUAUUGGACAAUGGGCGCAAGCCUGAUCCAGCAAUGCCGCGUGUGUGAAGGAGGCCUGCGGGUUGUAAAGCACUUUCAGUAGAGAAGAAAAGCCUACGGUUAAUAACCGUGAGUCUU